rnacentral:rRNA from 1 species
GACGAACGCUGGCGGCGUGCUUAACACAUGCAAGUCGAACGGUAAGGCCCUUCGGGGUACACGAGUGGCGAACGGGUGAGUAACACGUGGGUGAUCUGCCCUGCACUUCGGGAUAAGCCUGGGAAACUGGGUCUAAUACCGGAUAGGACCCUGGGAUGCAUGUCCUGGGGUGGAAAGCUUUUGCGGUGUGGGAUGGGCCCGCGGCCUAUCAGCUUGUUGGUGGGGUGAUGGCCUACCAAGGCGACGACGGGUAGCCGGCCUGAGAGGGUGACCGCCAACACUGGGACUGCGAUACGGCCCAGACUCCUACGGGAGGCAGCAGGGGGGAAUAUUGCACAAUGGGCGCAAGCCUGAUGCAGCGACGCCGCGUGAGGGAUGACGGCCUUCGGGUUGUAAACCUCUUUCAGCACCGACGAAGCGCAAGUGACGGUAGGUGCAGAAGAAGGACCGGCCAACUACGUGCCAGCCGCCGCCGUAA